CCACAAGUGCAUAAAAGCUUGACUGAUACAGCCAAGAGCAUGCAGAAAAUCGUGCGUUUUACAAAGAUAUUUUAAUUUCUUAUAUAGUCAAUAUCUUACGCAUCUUUGCGUUCAGCUUAGUACCAGGCCGGGGCAUUCAUAACAAUAAGUUAUUUCAAUAGUUUUGGGUUGUGGGGACACCCUGUACAUUUCAGUGAUUUCACUAAGUCUUUUGUUGUCAUUAUUCUUCAAGGAACAUGCGGCUCUAUUCACAUGCAGAUGGUGAAAGCACGUGCUAUUAAAUUAAUGAAGUGUUGAAAAGCAGAACAAAUUUCCAGACACAAAAUUCCUUCAAUUAGUAAGUUCUAUGGAGCUAGAUGCCCCAAAUCUCGAUAUUAUAGUUCAUCUAUCUGUAAUGUGUUUUUUAUAUUUUAUUUUUUGUAACUAAUGUAUAUGUAGGUAUUCAAUGUACCAAUAUUGGUAUUUGUUUGAAUAAAGUUUCCUUCCUUCCUUCCUUCCUUCCUUCCUU